rnacentral:tRNA from 1 species
GGAGAGCUGUCCGAGCGGUCGAAGGAGCACGAUUGGAAAUCGUGUAAACGUCAAAAGCGUUUCGAGGGUUCAAAUCCCUCGCUCUCCG